GUGCCUCUGUCGAUAUUCCAUUAAACAAAUCAGACAUUUCCAGCUAUAAUAGUCAUUUAUGACAAACAAUUUCAACACUGUAUUUCCGAUCAUUUUUGUUACUUUAAUGAACAAAUUGUGAGUCAGCUAUGUUUAUGCCCGGUUUACACCUUUUUUUCACCAUUUACAGUUUUUCUCAAUCGCUUUGGCUCAUUUCUUGAAACAAUCUUAACAUUCUCUAAAAUGUAAGCACUAUCACCACAACUGUUUCAUGGGACAUCAUAACUAUGGCAUGUCUGCAAAAUGUAGUAACUCACCCAAAACAUUUAAUUCAUGCUUCAAAACCUAGUUAUAGUGUCAGUAAAUUGGCCAUUGCCACCAAAAUGAAAAUAUAUUCUCUUCAGGUGAGCCAUACUGGUCAAAAUGUUUAGAUGUUUUUUCACCAUGGCAUUCAACCCUGGAAAUGUGUUAUACAGUUCUGCUCAAAAGUUUGCAUACCCUUGGAGAAUUGGUAAUAUGUACAUGUAAAAAAAACAAAAAAACAUGAGUGAGCAGGCAAAAUCCAUCUUUGGUUUCUUAUGGGAUUCACAUCCAACUGUAGGUCAUAGAAUGUCACCAUCAUAAAACAAAACAUGCCAACAAAACAAAAAAAAUUUUACUGACCCCUGUUCAAAAGUCUGCCUACCCUUAGUUCUUAAUACUGUGCAUUGCCCCAUUUAGCAUCAAUGACAGUGUACAGUCUUAUGUAAUAGUUGCCUGAAUUCUUGCACAUGGUAUACUUGCCCAUUCGUCUUGGCAAAAUGCAUCAUCUUUGGUCGUCUUGCAUCAACCGCAAGUUUGAGUUCUCCCCAGAGUGGCUCGAUGAUAUUAAGGCCAGGAGACUGUGGUGGCCACUCCAGAACCUUCUCCUUUUUCUGCUGUAACCACUGGAGGAUCAACUUGGGCCUUGUGCUUAAGGUCAUUGUUGUGCUGGAAAGUCCAAGAGUGUCCCAUGUUCAGCUUUUGUGCAGCAGAAUGCAAAUUGUCUGCCAGUAUUUUCUGAUAACAAGCUGCAUUCUUUCUUGCCAUACAUUUUCAUAAGAUUCCUUGUGCCUUUAGAGCACAAAACAUCAGUGAGCCAUCACCAUGCUUCACAGUGGUGAUGGUAUUCUGUUCACUAUAGGCUUUGUUGACCCCUCUCCAAACAUAGCGCUUAUGGUUCUGACCAUAAAGCUCUAUUUUGGUCUCAUCGCCAGACCUGUGAGGCGAAUCAAGGUGUUGUCGGGCAUAUUGUAACCAGGCUUUUUAUCUGGCAUCGGCACAGCAAAGGCUUCUUUCUGGCAACUCCACCACGCAGCUAAUUUCUGUUCAAAUAUCGUCGUAUUGUGCUCCUUGAAACAACCAUAUUGUCUUUUUCCAGAGCAGCCUGUAUUUCUCCUCAGGAUACCUGUGAGUUUUUCUUUGUAUCCUGAACAAUUAAGACAGUUUUGGCUGAAAUCUUUCUUGGUCUACCUGAACUUGGCUUGGUAUCAAGAGAUCCCAAAAUUUUCCAGUUCUUAAUAAGUGAUUGAACAGUACUGACUGGCAUUUGCAAGGCUUAGGAUAACAUUCAUGGGUAUGCAAUUUUGAUCAGGGCCAUUUGGGUGAUUUGAGUAAUCUUUAUGCUUUAAAAAAAGAGCCAAACAACUGUGAUAAUAAAUGACUUAAAGUAUUACUUUCUUUAAAUAAAAUACUUUUGUUGCAUGAUCAGUCAUUUUCAAAAUCAAUGCCAAAGGUUUCUGCCAGGGUAUGCAAACCUAUGAGCACAAUUGAAUACAAACAACACUUUUGUUCUACUUUUCUAGUAAAUGCUGGUGUGUAUCACACUGAGCUUUAGAUACCGGUUUCAACAGUGGUAGAGGUUUACUGGGAAAAGGGAACACUAUAAUUCUUUAGUACACUGAAAAAGGAUAUGCACAUCUGUGCGUAUACAGUAAAUUUAGCAAUGUGUUACAUGGAAACAGAAAAUUCACUUCUGCAUGUCAAGUUAUACAUAUUUCUUACAUAUAAAGUCAUAUAUAGCGAGCUGAAAAAUCCCCACAAUCCAUGAAAACAAAAAAACUGCAACAAUACAAAAUCAUGUGGCAAUUCUGUAAAAAACAAUGAACUGUAUCUCCUCGCAGUACAGAACACUACUAAGAUACCAACUUUUUGGUGGACAUCCUGUCACUCUUCUUGGUCUGGCAAGAUAUUUUCGACAACAUCACAUGUAAUGUUUUCCCUUGUAAUGCACCGGGGAAAAAAUUUAUUAAAAAAAAAAUCACCUGCCUAUUCCUAUUUCAUUAUGUCACCCGGCAAGUCAUUUGCAAAUAUAGCAGAUUUCACUAACAUUCCAUGUCAUAAAUAUGUAUGGAAUGUACAUUUAUGUCUGACAGAUUUGGUAAUUGAAUGGAUCAUUUUGCAUGUGAUGCCUCACACGAUGAAAGAAUGUUCAGAACUUGUGAAGAAAAUUACAAUUUCAAUGAGAAUCAACUCAUCAAUUUUGAUCAGAAAGCCAUAUUGUGAAAUUCAUAGACAAUUGUACUUACUCUUUUGC
ensembl:lncRNA